GACAGAGGGUGCAAGCGUUGUUCGGAAUUACUGGGCGUAAAGCGUGUGUAGGCGGUCUCUUAAGUCGGAUGUGAAAGCCCCGGGCUCAACCCGGGAAGUGCACUCGAAACUGGGAGGCUAGAGUACUGGAGAGGUUGGUGGAAUUCUCGGUGUAGCGGUGAAAUUCGUAGAUAUCGAGAGGAACACCGGUGGCGAAGGCGGCCAACUGGACAGAUACUGACGCUGAGACACGAAAGCGUGGGGAGCAAACAGG
rnacentral:rRNA from 1 species